rnacentral:rRNA from 1 species
CAGUCGCCGCGGGAAUACGUAGGUGGCAAGCGUUGUCCGGAAUUAUUGGGCGUAAAGGGCGCGUAGGCGGGCUGAUAAGUCAGGGGUGAAAUCCCAAGGCUCAACCUUGGAACUGCCUUUGAUACUGUUUGUCUUGAGUUCGAGAGAGGUAAGUGGAACUGCGAGUGUAGAGGUGAAAUUCGUAGAUAUUCGCAAGAACACCAGUGGCGAAGGCGGCUUACUGGCUCGAAACUGACGCUGAGGCGCGAAAGCGUGGGGAGCAAACAGGAUUAGAUACCCCAGUAGUCCCUGUCUCUUAUAC